AUUGAACGCUGGCGGCAGGCCUAACACAUGCAAGUCGAGCGGAGCGGCGGACGGGUGAGUAAUGCCUAGGAAUCUGCCUGGUCGUGGGGGAUAACGUCCGGAAACGGGCGCUAAUAUCGUAUACUAUCAGAUGAGCCUAGGUCGGAUUAGCUAGUUGGUGGGGUAAAGGCCUACCAAGGCGACGAUCCGUAACUGGGCUGAGAGGAUGAUCAGUCACACUGGAAAUAAGACGCGGUCCAGACUCCUACGGGAGGCAGCGGUGGAGAAUAUUGGACAAUGGGCUAAAGCCUGAUCCAGCCAUGCCGCGUGUGUGAAGAAGUUCUUCGGAGUGUAAAGCACUUUAAGUUGGGAGGCGUUACCAACAGAAUAAGCACCGGCUAACUUCGUGCCAGCCGCCGCGGUAAUAC
rnacentral:rRNA from 1 species